rnacentral:rRNA from 1 species
AAUGAACGUUGGCGGCGUGGAUGAGGCAUGCAAGUCGUGCGGCAGCAGGCUCCGCAAGGGGUGCUGGCGAGCGGCGAAAGGGAUAGUAACGUGUGGAUACCUGCCCUGGGGACGGGGAUAGCUGCUGGAAACGGCAAUUAAUACCCGAUGAUGUCUCCGGACCAAAGGUGUAAUUCCGCCCUAGGAGGGGUCCACAUCCUAUUAGCUAGUUGGUGAGGUAACGGCUCACCAAGGCCACGAUGGGUAGCGGGUGUGAGAGCACGACCCGCAUCACUGGGACUGAGACACUGCCCAGACACCUACGGGUGGCUGCAGUCGAGGAUCUUCGGCAAUGAGCGAAAGCUUGACCGAGCGACGCCGCGUGCGGGAUGAAGGCCUUCGGGUUGUAAACCGCUUUCGGAGGGGAGGAAAUCUAGGGGGGAUCACCCUUCUAGUUGACCUAUCCUAGGAAGAAGGACGGGCUAAGUUCGUGCCAGCAGCCGCAGUAAAAC